rnacentral:rRNA from 1 species
AUUGAACGCUGGCGGAAUGCUUUACACAUGCAAGUCGAACGGUAGAGGGGGCAACCCCUCGAGAGUGGCGAACGGGUGAGUAAUAUAUCGGAACGUGCCCAGUCGUGGGGGAUAACGUAGCGAAAGUUACGCUAAUACCGCAUACGAUCUAAGGAUGAAAGCGGGGGAUCGCAAGACCUCGCGCGAUUGGAGCGGCCGAUAUCAGAUUAGGUAGUUGGUGGGGUAAAGGCUCACCAAGCCAACGAUCUGUAGCUGGUCUGAGAGGACGACCAGCCAAACUGGAACUGAGACACGGUCCAGAGUCCUACGGGAGGCAGCAGUGGGGAAUUUUGGACAAUGGACGCAAGUCUGAUCCAGCCAUUCCGCGUGCAGGAUGAAGGCCCUCGGGUUGUAAACUGCUUUUGUACGGAACGAAAAGGUCUCUCUUAAUACGGGGGGCUCAUGACGGUACCGUAAGAAUAAGCACCGGCUAACUACGUGCCAGCCGCCGCAGUAA